rnacentral:lncRNA from 1 species
GGGGGGGGGUCUCUUUUCCUUAUUUAGUUACAUCUCCUUAUUUCUAAAACAUUAUUAGACCUUUUAUAUUUAACUAUACUGCUCAUCAGAGUGGGCACGAGGCUGCAGAGAUCUGUGUCAGGAACACUCAGAUAUGCAGGGAGGAGAGAUGAGAGUUUACGUAGCUCUCAAAAGGCAGAAAGUCACCUGGGAUCCUGAUACUCCAGGUCCUAAUUCCAGUGUCACCUCCUCCUAGAUACCAGGACGUAUCCCAGAAUCCUUCCACUAAAUUCUGCUUUGACUGGCACUAGCCUGACUGGUUUUCUAGUGCUUUGCACAAAGAUGAAUGAUUAGGGCAUUCAUCCACCUGUAAGCCUCAGUCCAUCUAACCCAAAACAUCCUCAUUUAAAAUCAGCGGCGAGGGAGUUCUCGUCAUGGCGCAGUGGUUAACAAAUCCGACUAGGAAUCAUGAGGUUGUGGGUUUGAUCCCUGGCCUUGCUCAGUGGGUUAAGGAUCUGAUGUUGCCGUGAGCUGUGGUGUAGGUCGAAGAUGCAGCUCGGUUCCGCGUUGCUGUGGCUCUGGCAUAGGCCAGCGGCUAUAGCUCAGAUUCCACCCCUAGCCUGGGAACCUCCAUAUAGGCAUCUAUUCCUGUAGCAGUCUUGUGUUCGUACAAAUUCAGCAUUCUCUGCCAACCAACUGGCCACACAGAAUCUCAGGGUAUCUGCAGAGGCUGGUGGUUUGGUCUUAUGGUUCAGGGACCGGUGGAUUUUGUCACAUUUAUUACAUGUAUAUUGCACUGUGAUGGACCCUGUUCAUUCUGAAGAUCUCCUCCAUGGUUCAGCACCUACAAUGCAUAUUUACUGAGCACCAGAGAGUGUGAGCUUCCACCAGAGAGUGCCAGCUCCGACAAAGAAACCAACCCAGAGAUCAUUCCUUAAUAGGGAACUGCUCAAACUGUUACCCUCUUAGGAUGUGUCCUUUCAAUUGCACUACCAUAUUACCCUAGCUUAUUCAACAUUACAGAAACUUAAAAAAUGACUCUAAAUCAUAGACCUUAACUCCUUUAUCUCACCCAUUUUUAUUCCUCUUCGAAUUUAUGUCCUGACUUCACAGUCUAAGAAUGAUUGCUCUGGCUGCUUGCACUGCACGAUCUGCUGGGGGCGGAAAGCCCCAGCUGUGCUUUCUCUGCCUUUGACACCUCCCCUGGCAAUAAUCAGAACUCUAUCAGGGCUUCCCUAAUGGCUCCAGCAGCAAUAGGCAACGCUGCAGCUCAUUACUAGUGGCACUAUCACCAUGGGGCUAGUGGGAACAAACAUUUAUUUGGUUCCAGAAAAUGAGCCAACCCCACCAUUAGACACUGUCCACAAAGGUGCAGUGAGAAGAGCCAUUUAUAGAAAGAGAAGCUGAUUUUGCUGAAGCCUCCACUGUAAAAUGAAGUGGUUAAAGCUUCAUUUUUAAACCCACCAUGGCUGCCACUUAGCCUCGUUUAAAGGAGCUGCUUCUUCCAAGGAGACGGAGAGAAACCAUACCCAUGCCUCAGAAUGGGAAGACAUGCCUAGGGAACCACCCUCUUCAAUUCUCCUGUCCCUUCCCUGCUUUCUCAAGAGGGUACCACUAAGCUGAUAGGAUGUCACUGUACCGAAGAAGGUUAUAAUGCAACUUUGGGAGUUCUGUUUCACUGAGUUCUCAAGUGUGCGCUGUGGGUCAGGCAUUGAUCUAAGAGCUUUGCAUAAAUCCAUGUGUUUUUAAUCCUCACAUGGAGACGGAUAUCCUUAGUAUCCUCAUUUUUCAUCUGGGGAAAGAGGCUCAGAGAGGUCAAAUAACAUGACCAGGGUUACACAGCUAAACUGUGAAGGAACAGGAAUAUGAACACAGGCCAAAUGGCACCACAGCACACAGCCUUAAACUCUAGACCAUAUUUCAGAUGAUGGUUAACAAUAGUAAACACUAUUUAAAGUGUCUUCCUUACUACAUAACAAACACCUUCAAAUAUGCUGUCUCAUUUAUCCACAGUGUAAUAUUUCUCUAAUCUGGAAAAGUGGGGUCACAGUAUCUCAUAUUAUCCCUUUAAUGCAUGACAGAGGACUAAGUAGACAAAUCUAGGACAAAACAAGGAAGAACUUAAUUUAGUGAGAGUGUGUGUUGAUAUUCACCUGGGAGAUGGUGAGCAGACACAAUUUGUGGUUGAAGAGAUUCCUUAUAACCUUCUUUGUUUACUUAUGGUCUACAUAUAUGAUUCCAGAAAACACAACAGAUCCCUCUCCUGGGAUCAGGAACAGCAUUCCCACAAGAUUUUUUAAAAGCCUCUGCAGCCUUAAGUACACAUGGAUUCCUUGAUGAAUUCGGCUCUGCUUCAAGUCCUUCUUUAGUUUCCUAAAUCUAAACUGAAGCCUUCCUCAUGUCCCCUAAGGGCAAGCCUGCUAUCAGUGUUAAACAGAAAUUCAAAUGCAAGAAGAAACCAGGGAGGCAGUAAGAUCUGCAACAAUUACAUGCCUCAAUUUUUUUUUUUCCCUGCUCUUAUUCUGCAGGAUUUUUUUUUUUUUCCUUCUCUUAAUCUAUAGCUUCUUACUUCCAUAAAGCUGUUGACACUGAUAAAGCCAGGCAUGGGAAACAAUGCACAUCCUUUUUUUUUUUGUUUUGUCUUUUUGCCAUUUCUUGGGCUGCUCCCGAGGCACCUGGAGUUCCCAGGCCAGGGGUCGAAUCGGAGUCACAGCCGCUGGCCUAUGCCAGAGCCACAGCAACUCAUGCAGCUCACGGCAACGCAGAAUCCCCAACCCACUGAGCAAGGCCAGGAAUCGAACCCGCAACCCCAUCGUUCCCAGUCAGAUUCGUUCACCACUGUGCCACGAAGGGAACUCCAAUGCACAGUCCAAUCUUGCUGAGGAAAUGAAUGAAGCUCAUGGAAGCUACAAGAAGGUACUCUUCUGCCAGCCCCAUCUCACUCUCCAAUCUAGACGAAGAUCCUCAGGCUUGUAACUCUUUAGCAGAGUAGGGGAAAAGUUUUUCAAAUUAUUUGAAGAAUCCUCCAAAUGGAAUCACAAUGCUUGGCAUUAAGUAGACAAGGCAGUAAAAUAAAAACAAUUUUUUUAAAAAAGUAAGCUCCUGCAAUGGCCUGUGCAUCUAAGAAAGGGCUCCAUUGACUCCUAAUGGCUGAGAACCCUCCCUGGAGGGGCAGGGAGUGGAAAAAAUGCACAAGUGAAGGCAAAUCCUGAUGCAGUCUAUAUCAUAAAGAGGCCAAAAAUGGCAUUUUUUGGCUAAUCUGGAUGCCUGGGGAGUAGUCAUAACAGCGUGCAAACCACACCCUUGAAAGCACAACUUAAGCUUCUUAGCUUUCAAGUCAGGGGCAAGGCAAGAAGGGAAUCCGUUCUGCACACAAUUCCAGAAACACCAACCUGGUUAAUAUUUUCCUUUUUUAACUGAUCGAAUAGAGUUUUUGAAGAUUAUAUCAUAUAAGAAUAUGUAUUUACCUGAAAAAAAAAAAUCAUUCACAGUAAUUGUUUAAACAAAAAGUCUUUCCUCAAAGAGCCCUUUCCUAAAAUAGACUCCAACUCAAGGUUCAAGCGACUUUAAUGAGGUACUAUUAAUAAAGGUAUAAACAGGAUAAAAGGAGACAACACUAUUGGGGCCCCCAUAAGCUAGCAACAGCAGGAUGCCAUUACCACUAGGGGCCUUGAAGGGACAAGAGGAGGAAAGGGAAUUUUUGGAGGCUGAAGAGAGCUGGAGCCAGAGGAGGGGCCCCUAUCAGAAAAGACAUCCCAGAGUAGGCAAGGGGCUCUCUCUCCUCCCACUCA